rnacentral:rRNA from 1 species
UACGUAGGGGGCAAGCGUUGUCCGGAAUUAUUGGGCGUAAAGAGCGUGUAGGCGGCUUUGCAAGUCGGGUGUGAAAGCCCUCAGCUCAACUGAGGAAGUGCGCCCGAAACUGCAGAGCUUGAGUACCGGAGAGGAUGGCGGAAUUCCCCAAGUAGAGGUGAAAUUCGUAGAUAUGGGGAGGAACACCGGUGGCGAAGGCGGCCAUCUGGACGGAUACUGACGCUGAGACGCGAAAGCGUGGGGAGCAAACAGG